GUGUGCAUGUGGUGUAUGUGUGUGCGUGUGGUGUGUGUGUGCAGUGUCAGGUUGGGGUUGGUAGGGACUAGGGGGCAGGCAGUGGAGUUUUCAAGCAAAGCCGUCAGGUCCAGGAGAGUCCUUACAUCAAGCAGAAACUCCACGAUGGUGUCAGCAGAAAACUCGCCAUCGUACUCAAUGACUUCAUCUCCCUUGAAUACAUACACGCUGUCCACUUCAGUUAGGCCUAGGGAGUGAGCCAGGGCGAGUGAGCCAUGAUCCCAGGCUUCCCACAGAUCCAAGGUCCAAAUCCUGGGCCACAGCCCAUUUGAUAAUCACCGGGGCCCCACAUGCUCCACCACAUGAGCCCGCUGCCCCCCCCACCUCCUCUGACCCCGAGGCCUACAGGCCUGAUGUCUCUGCUGCUGGAUUUAGCCCAGGAGGCCAGCCUGGCCCCAGGGCUUUCUAGGGAGGAGCUGGGGGAUCAAGUAGGGGGAGGGGAGGGAAUAGAGAGGUGUAGAUUCUAGCAGUAUUUCUCCCCUUCUCUGACUGCCACGACUAGGAGAUGAGUAUUCAUGCCACCCCCUCUGAGGACUCCAGUAGCUGGUUCCCAGUCAAGCUCUUUAAUUGCUAUUACUGACCAGAUGACUUCAUUAUUACUAACCACCCCUCCCCCAUCCAUGUCCAGAAUCCCGUCUCAAGCCUGUGCUUCCCCCUGGUGGCUCGCUGCUGUAACAACCAUGGCUCUGUAGGGGAGGAGUUGGAAGCGGAGUUUGCAGAGGUCUGGCCAGCCCAGCCUGUAUUCCUUUGCUCCAGCACCUACCAUGUUUUUUAGGAGAGACGGAUAACCUUCUGAGGCCAGGACAGCUCCAUGUGGGCCGAAAUCCUCCCACCUCCUACACUUCUACCCCAGGCUCCCAGGGGCUCCUUCCCUCCCCCUCCUCUGGUGUCCAGGGCACCUCAGCCCUGGUCCCCAUGCUGGCCUAAGAGCUCAUCGCCAUAUUAAGAAAGGAAAAGGAGAGAUGCCGGAGCUAAAAAUAAGACCAGAUGAGUCGGAGUGGACCUUACACAGCUAAACAAGAAGGCCACAGAAAAUCUCAAAAGCAUGGCAGGAGUGAGGCCAAGAGGGACAGCUGUCACUGUAGUAGGAGAGGUCGGAGCUAGCCUAAGCACAGCACGUUGGAGCUGAAGAGACCUCGGAAGCCCAUCUUCUGGUCUCCCUGAAGAGUGACUAAUGUGGGAAAGCACCAUGGCCAGAGGAAGACAGCCAGGUGAGAUGGGGAGGCCUGGCCAGAAGCAGAUGACCUAGGUGAUGUCCAGCCCCGAUUUCUCACUUCUGCAUUCCAGGGGAGGAGGGAGACACUGGGACAGAGAUGCUGGAAUAUAAAACUUGUUCCAUCUUGAAUCUGACCUUUUGUACCCCCAAGAGUGUGAGAUGGGACUCUGAUGGCGAGUCUGCUCCAUCUCCUAGUCCUUUCCUACAGCUACCGGACAUUGCCAUCCAUCCCAUUCCCUCUCGUUGCCCUCUCUGGCUCCAGUCCCACCCUUCCCCUUUCCAGCGCCCGUCCCUGCUGCUCUCUCUCUUGAUGCUUCACUCUCUCUACUUUCUACUCAGUCUCCUUUCCUUCAGGCCUUUGGACUUGAGAAGCCUCAACCACUGGUAUCAAAUGACCGUGAGUUGGGGCCUCUGUAUUUUUAACCCAUCAGACACCUGAAGCUCCUGCUAAUGAAACCUGAGGAGCUGGCCCCUCUGUGCUCCGGCUUCCCACCUCACUCACAUAUACCCUGGACCACUGAUCUUUCAGGGUCUGGUUCAGCCAUGUCAGCAACUGGGGAAGGACCCCAGGCUGAUAUAGCACUGUCCCUAGGAGACCUUGUGUUGGAAGAGGGAGGAGAAGAGGGAGAGAGACCUCUGAGGAGGGGCCUGAUGUAGGGAAAAUGGCAGGCAAUACUCAUGAUGGCCUUCUCCUUGCUAGCCCAUGGCCCCUCAUCCUCCAGACCCACCCCGGGUCCUUCCCCAUCACUAGCCUAUUUUUUUUGUUGUUGUUGUUUUGUUUGCUUUGUUUUUGUGUAUUUUUGACCCAGCCCUCACUGAAAGACUAGUCUGAAAGUGAUUAAGGGCACAUGUUCUGAAAACUGACAGACCUUGGUUUCUUCUUGGAUAACAUGGAGUGUGUGGUAGGGAAAUAUUUAUGUGACUUACUUGAUGGUGUAUAUAAAGCCCUCGUCCCAGUGUUAGGCAUAAUGUGCUGA